UGUCACUCCCCGGUAUGGCCUCUGCA
rnacentral:misc_RNA from 1 species